GGAAAGGUGUCCGAGUGGCCAAAGGAGCACGGUUGGAAGCCGUGUGUUGCGCAAGUGACCGAGGGUUCGAAUCCCUCCCUUUCCG
rnacentral:tRNA from 1 species